rnacentral:snRNA from 1 species
AGUGUGAGACUCAUCCAUUGCACUCUGGGUGUGCUGACCCCUGCGAUUUCUCCAAAUGUGGGAAACUCG